rnacentral:tRNA from 1 species
GCCGUUGGCGCCCGAGCGGACGGGCACCGGACUUUUAAUCCGGACUGUGGGGGUUCGAACCCCUCCGGCGGCA